AUUUAGAACGGAGAUGAGGAAACAUUUUUUCUCACAGAGAGUUGUGAGUCUAUGGCAUUCUCUGCCUCAGAGGGCGGUGGAGGCAGGUUCGCUGGAUGCUUUCAAGAGAGAGCUAGAUAGGGCUCUUAAAGAUAGCGGAGUCAGGGGAUAUGGGGAAAACAUAGAAACAUAGAAACCAUAUAACCAUAUAACAAUUACAGCACGGAAUCAGGCCAUCUCGACCCUUCUAGUCCGUGCCGAACACAUAAUCUCCCCUAGUCCCAUAUACCUGCGCUCAGACCAUAACCCUCCAUUCCCUUCCCAUCCAUAUAACUAUCCAAUUUAUUUUUAAAUGAUAAAAACGAACCUGCCUCCACCACCUUCACUGGAAGCUCAUUCCACACAGCUACAACUCUCUGAGUAAAGGUUCCCCCUCAUGUUACCCCUAAACUUCAGUCCCUUAAUUCUCAAGUCAUGUCCCCUUGUUUGAAUCUUCCCUACUGUCAGUGGGAAAAGCUUUUCCACGUCAACUCUGUCUAUCCCUCUCAUCAUUUUAAAAACCUCUAUCGUCCCCCCUUAACCUUCUGCGCUCCAAAGAAUAAAGCCCUAACUUGUUCAACCUUUCUCUGUAACUUAGUUGCUGAAACCCAGGCAACAUUCUAGUAAAUCUAACAUAGAAAUUAGGUGCAGGAGUAGGCCAUUCGGCCCUUCGAGCCUGCACCGCCAUUCAAUAUGAUCAUGGUUGAUCAUCCAACUCAGUAUCCCGUACCUGCCUUCUCUCCAUACCGUCUGAUCCCCUUAGCCACAAGGGCCACAUCUAACUCCCUCUUAAAUAUAGCCAAUGAACUGGCCUCGACUACCCUCUGUGGCAGAGAUUUCCAGAGAUUCACCACUCUCUGUGUGAAAAAAGUUCUUCUCAUCUCGGUUUUAAAGGAUUUCCCCCUUAUCCUUAAGCUGUGACCCCUUGUCCUGGACUUUCCCAACAUCAGGAACAAUCUUCCUGCAUCUAGCCUGUCCAACCCCUUAAGAAUUUUGUAAGUUUCUAUAAGAUCCCCUCUCAAUCUCCUAAAUUCUAGAGAGUAUAAACCAAGUCUAUCCAGUCUUUCUUCAUAAGACAGUCCUGACAUCCCAGGAAUCAAUCUGGUGAACCUUCUCUGCACUCCCUCUAUGGCAAUAAUGUCCUUCCUCAGAUUUGGAGACCAAAACUGUACGCAAUACUCCAGGUGUGGUCUCACCAAGACCCUGUACAACUGCAGUAGAACCUCCCUGCUCCUAUACUCAAAUCCUUUUGCUAUGAAAGCUAACAUACCAUUCGCUUUCUUCACUGAAGGCAGGGACGGGGUACUGAUUGGUGAUGAUCAGCCAUGAUCACAAUUGAAUGGGGGUGCUGGCUCGAAGGGCCGAAUGGCCUACUCCUGCACCUAUUGUCUAAACACAAUACUCUAAAAGCAGCCUCACCAACGUCUUAUACAACUGCAACUUGACCUCCCAACUUCUAUACUCAAUACUGUGGCUGAUGAAGGCCAAUGUGCCAAAAGCCUUUUGACAACUCGAUCUACCUGUGAGUCCACCUUCAGGGAACCAUGCACCUCGAUCCCUCUACUCUACAACGUUCCCCUGAGCCCCACCAUUCACUGUGCAGGUGCUGCCCUUGUUAGUCUUCCCAAAAUGCAACAACUCACAUUUCUCUGCAUGGUCUAAUUCUGCUCCUAUCACCUAUGAGAUUAAACUGUUAGACAGCAUAGAAGACAUUUUAGGGUGAGGACCAAAUUAUAGAAAGAGAUGGAAUGUUGCAGCAGAGCGGUGCAGCUGGAGAGGCAGCCGUGCAGUUGGCAGGAGGUUGGCUGGAAAGGAAGGGGAGGGAUGAAGGAAGCCUGCAGUUAGUUGGAAUAUGAUGCCAACCACGUGGCCAGCGGGAACAGUGCCAACACUGGGGUGCACAAACAAAGGUCAAGGCAAUUACGUGGCACUGUAGCUGGACCUAGCGAAGAGUUACAACCCGUGUAAGAAUGGCUGGAUGCAAAAGCUGAAGCUGUUCAGUGCUGUAAUCUCGCUUGGAAGCAGGUCGGAUAAUCUUAAAUCAUGUUCCUCAUGUUCUGCGACAUGUUAUGUGUAGUGCUUCACUGGGCACUAAACUGGAACAGGGCCAAUCACACACAACGGCAAUGUUUUGCUUAUGACAGGCGCUGAGGGAUUAAUGGGGCAGAAAAGCCAGCAGAGUUUAGAAAGUGUAGGAGAGAAAUUAAUGGUGACAAUUACAGAAAGCAAGGAGGGUUUGAAAAUAUUUGGCAAAUAAAAUCAAAAGAUAUUUAAUGUACGCGAAGCAAGAGAAUGAUCAAGAAACGAACAGGGCCAUUGGGGGACCUUUAGGACUUUAGUGAUACAGCACGGAAACAAGCCCUUUGGCCCACCAAGUCCGCACCAACCAGUCGUCACCCCAUAAGCUAGCAUUAUCCUACACACACUAGGGACAAUUUAUAAUUAUCAGUAGCCAAUUAUCCUACAGACCUGUACAUCUUUGGAGUGUGUGAGGAAACUGGAGCACCCGGAGAAAACCCAUGUAGUCACAGGGAGAAGGUACAAACUCCGUAGAGACAGCACCCGUAGUCAGGAUUGAACCCAGGUCUCUGGUGCUGUGAGUCAGCAACUCUACCGCUGCGCCACAAUGCCGACACAAAAGGUUGUCUGUGAGUGGCUAUGUGUACGAUGAAUGAAUAUUUAGUGAUGUGGUCACAAUGGACAGAGGGGAUGCUGCUGUGAAACUUCAACACGCUUGGCCGUGUAUUGCGGUGCGUGACCUGCAGGGUGGCAGGCGGUCGGACAGGGUUGUUUUAGCUUGACUGGCACAGAUGGGCUGAAUGGCCUCCUGUGUCAUCGAUGUUUAAAAUCUUCUUACACCCUGGCAUCUGGAAACCUGAGCACUGCUCAACCACAGUGCCGGUAACCUCUACCCUGACCCAGCUAGUCUGAUUUAAAGUGUAGGGAGUAACUACGGAUGCUGGUUUACACCGCAGGUGGACACAAAAUGCUGGAGGAACUCAGCGGGACAGGCAGCAUCUCUGAAAGAAGCAAUGGGUGACAUUUCAGGGUGAGACCUUUCUCCCGAAUCUCAGUCUGAAACAUAGAAAAUCGGUGCAGGAUUAGGCCGUUUUUUUUUAAAAUAAAUGUCCUCUAAAAAAUGUAUGUUUCAAUAUAUAUCCCUCUCAUCCUUCUAUAUACCAGUGAAUACAAGUCUAGUCGACCCAUUCUUUCAUCAUAUGUCAGUUCCACCAUCCCGGAAAUUAAACUGGGGAACCUACACUGCACUCCCUCAAUAGCAAUAAUGUCACAACUCACUAAUGUGAGAUGUCACUAAUGUCACAAGAGUUGUGAAUCUGUGGAAUUCUCUACCACAGAAAGCAGUGGAGGCCGAUUCACUGGAUGCAUUCAGAAGAGAGUUAGAUGGAGUUCUUAGGACUAGUGGAAUCAAGGGAUAUGGGGAGAAAGCAGGAACUGAUUGUGGAUGAUCAGCCAUGAUCAUAUUGAAUGAGGCUGGCUCGAUGGGCCGAAUGGCCUAAUCCUGCACCUAUUUCUAUGCUUAUAAUCUUUACCCACAAUGUGUUUUGGAUUGCUGUGCCAAUUUCACAGAAGUUCUUGCUUCUCUUUCGCAGUCCUGGUCUGCCUCCGCCCUAAAUCGUUGCCCUUUAUCGUUUCAGGUUGCACAAGAAAAGGUCAAACAGCAAGGGGCCGGGACCUGUACCUGGCGUUAAAGGUUCGCCGUCCAACAGUUCAGUCAACAGUCUGAGUAGCUACUUCAGCAACAUCAGCAACGCCUCCAAGCGCUCUCAGCACCUCGGCAGCAGCAGCGGCUGGCAGGAGCCCGUCGCAGUCGGAGGGCCGUCCAGCUUUGAGGACAGCUACAAAGACAAAGUAAACAGAGCAUCCGGCAGGAUGGGGAUACUGACAGCGCCUUCCACUUCUUCCAACAUCUACUUGUCAUCGACAUCUGGCUACUCCUCCCAGGAUGAGCUGCAGGGUUUGGCCUACUCUGAAUCAUUCUCUCCCCUUGCCAACCUGUGGGGCUGGAUCUCGCUGUUGUCUCCAG